rnacentral:rRNA from 1 species
AUUGAACGCUGGCGGCAGGCCUAACACAUGCAAGUCGAGCGUGAAAGUCCUUCGGGAUGAGUAAAGCGGCGGACGGGUGAGUAACGCGUAGGAAUCUACCUGGUAGUGGGGGAUAACGUUCCGAAAGGGACGCUAAUACCGCAUACGUUCCGAGGAAGAAAGCAGGGGACCUUCGGGCCUUGUGCUAUCAGAUGAGCCUGCGUCCGAUUAGCUAGUUGGUGGGGUAAAGGCCUACCAAGGCGACGAUCAGUAGCUGGUCUGAGAGGAUGAUCAGACACACUGGGACUGAGACACGGCCCAGACUCCUACGGGAGGCAGCAGUGGGGAAUUUUCCGCAAUGGGCGAAAGCCUGACGGAGCAAGACCGCGUGGGGGAGGAAGGUUCUUGGAUUGUCAACCCCUUUUCUCAGGGAAGAACGCAAUGACGGUACCUGAGGAAAAAGCAUCGGCUAACUCCGUGCCAGCAGCCGCCGUAACAC